ACACUGGCCUCCUCGAGCGCGCCGCCCGCGCCCAGCGCCCCACGCCCCGCGCCCCGGGCCGUGCAGCCAGCCCUUACCUUGCAGCGCCCGGCUGUCUCCCGAUCGCUAAAGCUACUUAUCCCGGGAAAGCUCGCGCGGGACCCGGGAACGAACCCACAGACAAAAAGUGAAACUUCGGCAGGGCUGGAGCGGCUGCUGGUUGGUGCCUUUCCCCCUCCUUCCUCCCCACCGUCCCCACCCCCUCCCCUUGGUCUCCCGUGCGGUGCCCUGAGCGCUGGAGGCUGACGUCAGGGGCCUGAAUUCCUGACUUUGCCUGCACGCAUUUGUCCAUGUAAGGUAUGGGAAGGCGUGUGCCCGCGAAGCCGCCGCGCAGAGCUCGCCUGGCGGGGGAGGGGAAACCCGCAGCCGGCAGUGGCUUUGCCAAAAGGUGGGCGCACUGAGGGCAUUGCAUUUCCUGGGAGGAAGAGGAGGAGACGCGGGAAUGCAGGGAGCUUGCAAAGGAGGAAGAGAAAGAGGGAGAUGUGGAGACUUUGCCCCUGCUAGAGGAAGAGGAAGGAGACGUAGGAGGAAGCGGCCGCGUCAGGGGGCUCCUGGAAAAUGGAAAAGCCUGCGUCUACUAUUAAGGCGUCAAAUUAGGGCACUGAGCUUGAGUGGAAGAGAUCCAGCCAUGAAAUCCCCUUCCAAGAUUUUCCUCGUGAGCCCCGCCCUGGAUUCCCAGCAAGACUCAAAACUUACAAGGUGUCAGAGCUGGCAAAGACCAACUUCCAACCCGUCCGCUUGGCACGUGAGGAAACUGAAGCUCUCGGAAGAGAAAUGACUUGUACAGGGUCGUCACUCAGCAGAUCGAGGAGCGGGCCCAGGCGCUCUGCCUCCCACUUGGGUUCCCGCCUCCAGGAAGGGCCCUGGCUCCCUUUUAGCCCUGAGCCUUGAAGCAGGUUAGAUGCCCGCGAGCUGUGCGGACCACCCAGUGAUUUCUACUGCUCUUGGCCCAGAGCCAGUUCCUGGAAGGUCCUGGUUGACAGCGAGCCCUGAAUAUCAAUGACAAUCAGUUGCUUCAGGGCAACUUCCUCUGUCCUGUGCUCAAAUAAAUGAAUCCCUGGAGUUUAACGUUUACUUCUGAGCCCCGCCCAGAAAGCUUGCUCUGUGCUUAUAGCUUCAAAAAAGUCUGCGAACGAGAUGAACUGGUUUGAAUACAGACAAGCCUGUCAUUGGAAGUUUUGAGUUGGAUUUUUCUUUCCCCUCUGACAUCUGUAAGGGUGAACGACGAUGAGAACCACCACUUAACUGUGUUAGGGGAUUAUGACGCGCAGCAGCCAUGGCCAGGAAAGCAUUCCAUACCCUGAGACUUCCUUUCCUUGCACUUCUCUCCUAUUAAUAUCUAAAGUAAUCCCUCACGUUAGCACAUAAUGAAAGCAGUCUCUCACCCGGCUAUUGCAUCUUCAGGUGAGUUAGAUAGGACAGAGCGUAGUCCCCCCUUUACACCUCAGACAAAAACUUAAGAAACGUUACUCGCCCAACACAAAACAACUGACUGACCAAGCACCUGUCUUCCCCUCCUCCCAUCCAGGUCUCCUGACUAAUCCCUUCAUCUUUCCAUACCUGGCCCUGACCUCUAGCAGGACCUAAUUCCAUUCAUAACUGUUGAGAGUACACCAUGAGCUACUGAUUCAUAAAAACUCCAAAAAGUGGUUCUUCUGAGGAUGGACUUUAGUGGGAUUCUUUUGACCAGGAAUUAAGGAAAUAAUGUAAAAACACAUGUUAUUGGAUUUAUUAAGCACCUUCCUUGUGCUUAAUAAGUGUUUGAAUUCAGACAUUUCAGGGGUAAGACUACUUAACCUCUGUGUUCCUCUCAACUAUCUAAUGUACACAUACAAAAAUAUGAACAUGGCUGGGCGCGGUGGCUUACACCUGUAAUUCCAGCACUUUGGGACGCCGAGGCGGGCAAAUCACCUGAGGUCAGGAGCUCGAGCCAGCCUGGCCAACAUGGCAAAACCCCAUCUCUACCAAAAAUACAAAAAACUAGCUGGGCGUGGCGGCGAGCGCCUGUAAUCCCAGGUAUUCCGGAAGCUGAGGCAGGAGAAUUGCCUGAACCCGGGAGGCAAAGGUUUUAGUGAGCCGAGAUUGCGCCACUGCACUCCAGCCUGGGGGACAGAGCAAGACUGUUGUCAAAAAAAAAAAAUAUAUAUAUAUACAAACACAUAUAUAUACACAUAUAUAUACAUAUAUACACAUAUAUAUACAUAUAUAUACACAUAUAUAUACAUAUAUAUAUACACACACACAUAUAUAUAUACACACAUACAUAUAUAUAUAUGAAGGCAGUAACAGAGAGAUAAGGUCGAGAAUAACCACCCAUUCCACAGACUAAUAAAGAAUUUAUCUCUUUGCAACUAACAUAGUUUGAAAUGGGAGAUACGGGCUCUUGGAGAGAGUUUUUUCUGGGGUUCUGAAAAGGUCAGAUCCUAUCAAAACACAAUCCACUCACUCAAACAUUUCAGCGUACUCACAUUCUGAGUACUACUGUUUAGUAUGAAAAGAAUUCCAGUGUUACAUGAAGUAAAAAUGGAUUAUCUCAAUCCUCAUGGAAUAUAACGGGACUUGACCAGCAUUUCCUUUUUUUUUUUCCUUCAGUAACUCACUUAUAAGGAAUAAUAGGGUCCUAAUGAGGAUUAAGAUUUAAUAAGGUGUAAUUAGAGUUGUUCAUUUCUUCCAUCAUAUACAUUAUAAGAGUACUGUGCCGGAUCCAGAAAUGCUACUAAUUAUGUUGAAACUGUUGUAUGGGUGUGUUGGGGAAGUCACUGUGUUUCUCCUCCUGAAAUGUUUAUGAAUUGCUCAGGUGAGCAUGGUGAGCAUGGUGUUAGCAUGAACAUCAUAUAAAGUUAACUACAAAAGAUAAUUCUGACUCAUGAGGAACUUCCCAAGAGUACAACCACCCAAGUCAUAAUCUGGAUGCUUAGUGAACUGCAUACAGUGUUGUCGUCAGUGCUAACCCUACCAAAAGCCUCAUUCCCAUUUACUGUUCUGGUUUCUUUCGUACUCUUACUUUUCUCAACCUCCUGUUACAACUUUCUACGUGCAGGCGCUUGCGUGAAAUGGAAAGGUUGUAUGAAUUUGCACUCAGUGGUAGAAAAAUACUGGUUUACCAAUUCAGAGGCUAAAACACAGAAUUUCAGGUGUAGUGUGGGGUCGUUUGGGCCAAGGAUAGCACACUGGUGGCCUAAAGGCUACCAGCAGCAUUUUCAUGGGUUCAGUAAUGGCAUAAAAGACUUUUAGGCAAGCUGGGCUUGGGUCCUGCCUUUCGUUUGCAUCCAUUACAGUCCUGUACACGUGGCCUUUGUGUAGCUCAUGCCAGUCCUUAUUUGGAGUUUUCAUAUACAUUUCACUUAACUCUCACAAGACCCCUUCUGAGGUUGGCAUUAUUAUUUUUUUAUUUUAUCCAUGAAGAAACUAAAGCCCUAAAGCCCAGGGAGUUUAAGUACUAGCUCUGUGUUAAGAGCUGAGUAAGCUCAUUUUUUUUUUUUUUUUUCUUUUUUUGAGGUGGAGUCUUGCUCUGUCGCCCAGGCUGGAGUGCAGUGACGUGAUCUCUGCUCACUUCAAGCUCCACCUCCUGGGUUCACACCAUUCUCCUGCCUCAGCCUCCUGAGUAGCUGGGACUACAGGCAUUCGCCACCACGCCCGGCUAAUUUUUUUUUUUUUUUUUUUUGUAUUUUUAGUAGAGACGGGGGUUUCACCAGGUUAGCCAGGAUGGUUCGAUCUCCUGACCACGUGAUCUGCCCUCCUCGGCCUCCCAAAGUGCUGGGAUUACAGGCAUGAGCCACUGCACCCGGCCCCAAGCUGAGUAAGCUCUUACUCAGCUGAGGGUAGGUAAGCUAAGAUUCCACACUGAUCCCUGGCAACCUGGCACCUUGCUCACCCACUGUUGAGUGACCAUCUGCUCUCAGUUUGAACACUCAAGCGUAGGGAACUUAUGAUCUCCUACAGCUGAGCAAGAGGAAAAGUUCUGAAGAGGCUAUUAGAAAAAUAAUAAGAAUAAGAGGGCCAUGGGUGAUAGAAGGUAAAUACCCAUCUGCUGUUGCCUCUGAGAGCCUAAAACCUAUCAGGCCAAAUGCCUCUAGUAUGGUUUGCACGGACCUUCAUAAUUUGGCACCUACUUGUCCCUUCAGCCUCAUUUCUUCCAGGCCUUUAUGUGCCCCCACCCUCCACCCUCCUUCUAGUAGUUUUCCAAGCACAUCUUACCUCUCCCUGCUUAUCUCUGUUUGCAUAUCUUCCCUUUUCCCUCGGGAGUCCUCAGCCUUCUCUUUCAGAUAACUUCAAGUGACGGGGCCUGAAUGCAAGCAGACCAAUGAGAGUUGCCCAGGCAUUUGGAAGUAGCAAUCAAGACUAGCAUGGGGGCCAGGUGCGGUGGCUCACGCCCGUAAUCCCAACACUUUGGGAGGCCGAGCCAGGCGGAUCACCUGUGGUUGGGAGUUUGAGACCAGCCUGGCCAACAUGUGAAACCUCGUCUCUACUAAAAAUACAAAAAUUAGCAGGGCAUGGUAGUACACGUCUAUAAUCCCACCUACUCGGAAGGUUGGAGCACAAGUAUCACUUGAACCUGGGAGGUGGUGGUUCCGGUGAGCGAAGAUCACUGAUUUUUCAUAAGUGUGUUUGAUCUCCUCCAUGCAAAUAUAGGAUUCUUUAUAGUCGUCUUCAUGUCUUGUUCAUUUCUCUUCCCCAGCAGCCAAGGCAGUACCUGGCACUUGCAACCAAAUGCACUCUAGCCUGGUUGACAGAGCAAGACUCUGUCUCAAACAAACAAACAAACAAACAAACUAGCAUGGAGAGGGACACAAGAGAGAAAUGUUUAUGGUCCUUGCCUUACCCUAAAUUACUGUGCAACCUUUUGGCAAGUCACUUCCUCUCUAUUCUGAGUUUCUUUAUCUAUUCAAUUGGGUUCUUAGAUUUGGUGGUCUCUAACACUCUCCCAGUUUUUCAAUUUGAUGUUACAUUCUACCCAGUGACCAAAUUCAUAUUCCAGAAGCAUAGUAUGCUAUGUCAUACCGCAAAUCUUGUAAACGUUCCUGAUAUGGUUUGGCUGUGUCCCCACCCAAAUCUCAUCUUGAAUUGCAGUUCCCAUAAUCCACACAUGUAACAGGAGGGACCAGGUGGAGCUAAUUGAACCAUGGGGGCGAUCUCCCCCCACCUGUUCUUGUGAUAGUGAGUUAGUUCUCAUGAGAUCUGAUGGUUUUAUAAGGGUCUUUCCCCUUCACUGGGCACUCAUUCUUCUGCCUCCUGUUGCCACAUGAGGAAGGACAUGUUUGCUUCCCCUUCUGCCAUGAUUGUAAGUUUCCUGAGGCCUCCCAGCUAUGCUGAACUGAGAGUCAAUUAAACUUUUUUCCUUUAUAAAUUUCCCAGUCUUGAGUAUGUCUUUAUUAGCUGUGUGAUAAUGGACUGAUAGGGUUCAAUAAUAUCAACCAAAUUAAGUUCAUACCCUGCAGCUUCCCCUUCCUCAUUUCAUG
rnacentral:lncRNA from 1 species